rnacentral:rRNA from 1 species
CGGGUGAGUAAUGCCUAGGAAUCUGCCUGGUAGUGGGGGAUAACGUUCCGAAAGGAACGCUAAUACCGCAUACGUCCUACGGGAGAAAGCAGGGGACCUUCGGGCCUUGCGCUAUCAGAUGAGCCUAGGUCGGAUUAGCUAGUUGGUGAGGUAACGGCUCACCAAGGCGACGAUCCGUAACUGGUCUGAGAGGAUGAUCAGUCACACUGGAACUGAGACACGGUCCAGACUCCUACGGGAGGCAGCAGUGGGGAAUAUUGGACAAUGGGCGAAAGCCUGAUCCAGCCAUGCCGCGUGUGUGAAGAAGGUCUUCGGAUUGUAAAGCACUUUAAGUUGGGAGGAAGGGCAUUAACCUAAUACGUUAGUGUUUUGACGUUACCGACAGAAUAAGCACCGGCUAACUUCGUGCCAGCAGCCGCGGUAAUACGAAGGGUGCAAGCGUUAAUCGGAAUUACUGGGCGUAAAGCGCGCGUAGGUGGUUUGUUAAGUUG